rnacentral:rRNA from 1 species
UACGUAGGGUGCGAGCGUUGUCCGGAAUUAUUGGGCGUAAAGAGCUCGUAGGCGGUUUGUCGCGUCUGCUGCUGAAAACCCGAGGCUCAACCUCGGGCCUGCAGUGGGUACGGGCAGACUAGAGUGCGGUAGGGGAGAUUGGAAUUCCUGGUGUAGCGGUGGAAUGCGCAGAUAUCAGGAGGAACACCAAUGGCGAAGGCAGGUCUCUGGGCCACUACUGACGCUGAGAAGCGAAAGCAUGGGGAGCGAACAGG